rnacentral:lncRNA from 1 species
GAAUUUUGUUGUUUUCAAAGGAUAAUAAGAAAAUAGCAGUGAUCACAUGAUUUAUCAACUCACCUCUGAAGACAACAAUUGAUGUUGUUUAUUUUCUUGGAUAAGUAUAAACAAAUUGAAUAACUCAUGUUCUGAAUAGAAAGGAAAGAAGAUAUAAUUUGGACAUUCAAACGAAUAUGCAGAAGACAAACUGACAACGCAAUAUAAAAAAAAAACCGAUCAAAAGACAAACAACAGUACACAUAACAAAAUAUUAAAAAAGUAUAAUAACAAAAAUACCUUACUUAAAGGGAAAUUCUAAACGGAAAGUUAAUAUGCAAAUGGCAAAAUCAAAAGCUCAAAAAUAUCAAACGAAUGGAAAACAAGUGUCAUAAUCCUGACUUUGAACAGGCAUUUUCUUGUGUAGAAAUGAAGGAUCAAACCAUGUUUAUAUACUGAUUUAAAAAUAGAAAAAUAAACUGACCAAAACGAACCCCAUUUAAAAAGUGUGGUCUCGGGUGUUCUGGAAGAAAGGGUUUCAUUUGGCACAAAACUAAAAUAACUUGAAGUAUUUUUCUUAUUUGAAAGGAUUCAGCAAUUUACCUUUUUCCCCAUUUCGAGGCCAAAGAAAUACUCUUAUGUAUCUUCCUCUUUAUAAGAAUGAACCAAUGAGGUUAAAAUAUAACCACGUUGUUAAAACCUAGUAGUGUUCUAUAUUUAAAACAAAACUUGGUUUGCUAUAUGUCGGAAUUCAUACAUUACAAGCCCUCUCAUUAAACUGGCUAUUAAGCUAGGUCUUACCAACGUAGCUGAUACACCAUCUGAUAAUUGGCAUAUACAACUAUAAUAUUUCAGAUUUGAUCUUACAAAUAUGCUUACAACAGAUGUCUGCGAAGCUUUAUAUGAAAAAUAUUCAUGUAUUGACUGUUGAUCAUAAAUAGGG